rnacentral:pre_miRNA from 1 species
GUUUUGACUUUUCGUCCUAAAUUUUUUUGCGAUUAAUAUUUUUAUUGUUACUAGAUGAUAAAAUAUGAAUAGUACUUUAUACGUGACUAAUUAUUUUAAGUAUUUUAAUAAAUUUUUUAAAUAAGACAAAUAGUCAAAAC